ensembl:lncRNA
GGUGCAUCAUCGGUUAGUGAGACAUCUACACCUGAUAAAGAGUCUGUGAAUCGCAUCUGGAACAAAGGAGGAAAGCAAAUGAAAGGGAAAUUCAAGGGAAAACAACAUUCAGAAUGCAGUAAGGUGAAUAAACAGUGCUAUCGAUGUGGUAAUUCUGAUCACUUAGGGAGAGAUUUAAAAUGUCCCGGGAGAGGUCAGACAUGCCAUAAAUGUAAAGGACGAGACCAUUUCUCAAAAAUGUGUAAAACUAAAAAUGUAAAGCAGCAAACAGUAAACCAAGUUGAAGGUCAACCUGAAUAUGCAUUCGUCAUCUGUAGAAUGUGUUUCCCCUUAACACAUGGACUCUUCCAGUCACCCCUGUCAUCUAGUGUAAAAUGGACUAUUCCUGAACUUUCCAUCGGAGUUCGUGAAGUGACGGAGAAGAGAGAAGGUGGAUGAAAACGGGAAGGCAAACUGUCUGAAUAUUGUAGAUAGUUUGUAGAUUCAUAAGUAUUAGUCCAAAUUAGAGGAAUUUUAUAGUUUGUGCGUGUGCGUGCAUCACAACAACCACACAUCUAUGCACAUCUAAUAAAGACAAUUUGGAUUAUUUGAUUGAGACAUCAUUGUUCUGACCGGGCAAACUGUAGCCUUCACCCAAACCCGGACUAGCAAUAGAGUGCAGUCUAAGAAGAGUUUUCAUGGUCCUUCGAGCCGGAGGUGAAUUGUUACAGAGAUGUCUCAACCUGAGAAGGAAGUCCCCGUUGUGCGUCCACGAAGACGGAUUAACCCACCAGCUCAUCUAGUGGACUACGAGCUUGGUGAGCCAUUGCAGCAUCGACAGCCACUCCCAGGCCACAGUCAAAGCAGAGGACAGUCACCAAGUACAGUAGGACAUACCAGAUCGAGUUCUCCUGUUAGCCAAGAUUUAGAAUGUGAUAAAUGGACACUGAGAGACGAAUGGCCAAGUGCAUCUGACCAGCGUGGAGAAAAGGAAGUAGAGCUUACAGCCAUGUUGCAAGAGAUGAAACAAGAGAAUGCAGUACUACGACGACAAGCCAACCAGCUUCCAGAGAUUAUCUCAGCAUUACAGGAGAUGCGCCAUCAGAAUGCCAUGUUACAUCACGAACUUCAAAGUCUUAAGGCAGAAAAGGAAGCCCCCUCCAGGCCAGUGACUUUACCAGUCCCGUCUCCAAGUCCCUUUACUCCAAUGGUGAGCCCCGAGACCCCACAACGGUUCCGUCCGACUCCAGCCCCACGGACAAAGCCACCAACUCCGCCUACUGCCGUGAGAGACCUGCGCCCAGCUACAGUAGACGAGUACCCUGGAAUGGCCGAGGAUUUUAGUAACAUGGACAUUUCUUCCUCAAUGCCUGAGAGAGUACCACCACCAGUACAUUGCAGCGACCAUCCUCAACCCAGGUACUCUCGUUCCCCACAGCACAUUCCAUCCCAUCUGUCAGAGUUCAAGACUCCAGCACAUGAGCGGAUGCUGCCCGCUCACACAGACUACAGACAAGUUUAUUACCAGCCUCCAUCCACACAGGAAAAGAUGUACAGAGGCCCUGCUCCAACUAUCCCCUUUCUGACAGCCCCAGAUCCUAGAGAGUUCUCUAGACUGAGGAUAGCUCUAGAGAACAUUCUACCUGAGGAUGCAACAGAACAGUUCAAAUACCAAAUCCUCACUGACCACCUGAAACUGGAGGAAGCACUCCUUGUGGCGGACUCAUAUAGCAACUCAAGGUUCCCAUUCACAAAUACCAUGAGAGCCCUCAAUAAAAUGUAUGGCCAGCCCCACCAUCUAGCAUUACAGCGCAUUGCCGAAUUAAUGGAUGGUCCAAACAUUUGCAGUGGAGACGUGAAAGCUUUUCGGAUGUUUGGACUCCAGGUGCGCUCCCUGGUUAGUAUGCUGGAACAGCUGGGCCAGAAAG